rnacentral:rRNA from 1 species
GAUGAACGCUGGCGGCGUGCCUAAUACAUGCAAGUCGAGCGAACGGACGAGAAGCUUGCUUCUCUGAUGUUAGCGGCGGACGGGUGAGUAACACGUGGAUAACCUACCUAUAAGACUGGGAUAACUUCGGGAAACCGGAGCUAAUACCGGAUGAUAUUUUGAACCGCAUGGUUCAAAAGUGAAAGACGGUCUUGCUGUCACUUAUAGAUGGAUCCGCGCUGCAUUAGAUAGUUGGUAAGGUAACGGCUUACCAAGGCAACGAUGCAUAGCCGACCUGAGAGGGUGAUCGGCCACACUGGAACUGAGACACGGUCCAGACUCCUACGGGAGGCAGCAGUAGGGAAUCUUCCGCAAUGGGCGAAAGCCUGACGGAGCAACGCCGCGUGAGUGAUGAAGGUCUUCGGAUCGUAAAACUCUGUUAUUAGGGAAGAACAUAUGUGUAAGUAACUGUGCACAUCUUGACGGUACCUAAUCAGAAAGCCACGGCUAACUACGUG